rnacentral:RNase_P_RNA from 1 species
UGAGUAAAUCGGAUGAUCGCGUGCUUUGCAUGAGGAAAGUCCGUGCUCCAUAGGGCAGGAUGCUGGAUAACGUCCAGUGGGGGCGACCCUAAGGCUAGUGCAACAGAAAUAUACCGCCUAACAUAACAAUGUUAGGUAAGGGUGGAAAGGUGAGGUAAGAGCUCACCAGCAACUAGGCGACUAGUUGGCUCUGUAAACCCCAUCCGGAGCAAGACCAAGUUAGGGACUGAAAAAGGCAGUUGCCCGCUGCUGUCCCGGUUGGUAGGUCGCAAGAACCUAUUGGCAACAAUAGGUCAUAGAUAGAUGAUCAUCCUCGACAGAACACGGCUUACAGAUUUACUCAUUAG